rnacentral:rRNA from 1 species
GUAGGGAAUUUUCGGCAAUGGGCGAAAGCCUGACCGAGCAACGCCGCGUGAAGGAAGAAGGAAUUCGUUCUGUAAACUUCUGUCAUAGAGGAAGAACGGUAUGAUCAGGGAAUGGGUCAUAAGUGACGGUACUCUAUAAGAAAGCCACGGCUAACUACGUGCCAGCAGCCGCGGUAAUACGUAGGUGGCGAGCGUUAUCCGGAAUUAUUGGGCGUAAAGAGGGAGCAGGCGGCACUAAGGGUCUGUGGUGAAAGCCCGAAGCUUAACUUCGGCGAGCCAUGGAAACCGUAGAGCUAGAGUGUGUGAGAGGAUCGUGGAAUUCCAUGUGUAGCGGUGAAAUGCGUAGAUAUAUGGAGGAACACCAGUGGCGAAGGCGACGAUCUGGCGCACAACUGACGCUCAGUCCCGAAAGCGUGGGGAGCAAAUAGGAUUAGAAACCCUAGUAGUCC